AGAGCGCAUGAUGAAUGCCUUGGUGCCAACAGGCGAUGAAGGACGUGAUAAGCUGCGAUAAGCCACGGUGAGCGGCAAAUACGCUACGACCCGUGGAUGUCCGAAUGGGGUAACCCGGCUGGAUUAAUAUCCAGUCGCCGCCGUGUGAAUACAUAGCACGGCGCGCGCGAGACCUGGUGAAGUGAAACAUCUCAGUAACCAGAGGAAAAGAAAGCGAAGCGAUUCCGCAAGUAGUGGCGAGCGAAAGCGGAACAGCCCAAACCCGGGUGCUUGCACCCGGGGGUUGUAGGAGCCCGUUGUGGCAGUCGGGAGGUUAGGUGAAGCGUGUGGAAAAGCGCUCCACAGAGGGUGACAGGCCCGUAACCGAAAACCAAACGACGCCUAGGGAAUUCCUGAGUAAUGCGUCACACGUGAAACGACGCAUGAAUCCACGCCGACCACGGCGUAAGGCUAAAUACUAGUUGGCGACCGAUAGUGAACAAGUACCGCGAGGGAAAGGUGAAAAGAACCGCUGCGAGCGGAGUGAAAUAGUACCUGCAAUCAUGUGCUUACAAGGUGUCAAAGCCCGCAAGGGUGAUGGCGUGCCUUUUGCUUAAUGAGUCUGCGAGUUAGUGUCUGUGGCAAGUCAAAGCCCCUCUGGGGUUGAGGCGAAGCGAAAGCGAGUCCGAAAUGGGCGCCCAGCUGCCGGCACUAGACCCGAAGCCGAGGUGAUCUACCUAUGGCCAGGUUGAAACGACAGUAACAUGUCGUGAAGGACCGAACCGAUGGGCGUUGAAAAGCCCCCGGAUGAGCUGUGGGUAGGAGCGAAAGACUAAUCAAACCCGGUGAUAGCUGGUUCUCCCCGAAAUCUAUUGAGGUAGAGCCUCGUGUGCUGACCUGCGGAGGUAGAGCACUGGAUGAACUAGGGCCCACACCCGGGUACCGAAUUCAAUCAAACUCCGAAUGCCGCAGGGCGUAACACGGGAGGCAGAAUGCGAGGGAUAAGCUUCGUAUUCGAGAGGGAAACAACCCAGACCAGCAGCUAAGGUGCCUAAAUAUUGCUAAGUGGAAAGGAUGUGGGGUUACUUAAACAGUGAGGAUGUUGGCUUAGAGGCAGCCAUCAUUUAAACAGUGCGUAAUAGCUGACUCAUCGAGUGAUCCUGCGCCGAUAAUGAUUGGCGAUAAGCAAUAUACCGAAGCUCUGGAACGCGCAAGCGUUGGUAGGGGAGCGUUCCCAUUGCAUUGAAGCCGCCGGGUAACCGUGUGGUGGAGCGGUGGGAAGUGAGGAUGCAGACAUGAGUAGCGAUAAGACAGGUGAAAUCCCUGUCCGCCGUAAACCCAAGGUUUCCUGGGGAAGGUUCGUCCUCCCAGGGUUAGUCGGGUCCUAAGUCGAGGCCGAUGGGCGUAGACGAUGGCCAGCAGGUUCAAUAUUCCUGCACCUCCGACAUUUAAACCGGUGUGACGCGGGCCUGGAGAAGAGCGGGGUGAUGAAUGUCCCCGUCGCGCAAGCGGAUGUGGCGGCUUCGGCCAAAGCAGAUUCUUUAAAGGGUCCGCCGAGAAAAGCACCGGCGUAUACUAAGGAGCCCGUACCGUAAACCGACACAGGUGGGUGGGCAUAAAUGUGCCAAGGCGCGUGAGUGAAACCUCGUUAAGGAACUCGGCAAUCUAGCCCCGUAACUUCGGAAGAAGGGGUGCCCUCUUCGGAGGGUCGCAGUGAAAUGGGUCAACCGACUGUUUAACAAAAACACAGCACUCUGCAAAGUUUUAUGACGACGUAUAGGGUGUGACACGUGACCAAUGCCGAAAGAUUACGGUAAGAGGUUAGCCGCAAGGCGAAGCUUCGAGCCCAAGUCCCGGUGAAUGUCGGCCGUAACUAUAACGGUCCUAAGGUAGCGAAAUUCCUUGUCGGGUAAGUUCCGACCUGCACGAAUCGUGUAACGAGUUGACCGCUGUCUCAACGAGGAGCUCAGCGAAGUUGUAACGGCGGUGAAGAUGCCGCCUACCCGCAGUAGGACGGAAAGACCCUAUGCACCUUUACUGUACGCUGUUACUGGUUUUUCGAUUUUAAUGCUUAGCGUAAGUGGAAGACGUUGACCCAACCCUUGCGGGGGUUGGCGAGUCGCCAAUGAAACACCACCCUUUGAAAUUGGAAAAUCUAACCCCGAGCCGCCAUACGGCCGGGAGACACUGGCAGCCGGUCAGUUUUACUGGGGCGGUAUCCUCCCAAAGAGUAACGGAGGAGUACGAAGGUUGGCUCAUCCUGGUUGGCAAUCAGGUGACGAGUAUAUGGAUAUAUGCCAGCUUUACUGUGAGACACACACGUCGAGCAGUUACGAAAGUAGGUCCAAGUGAUCCGGUGGUUGAAUGUGGAAUUGCCAUCGCUCAACGGACAAAAGGUACGCUAGGGAUAACAGGCUGAUCCUGCCCAAGAGCUCAUAUCGACGGCAGGGUUUGGCACCUCGAUGUCGGCUCAUCACAUCCUGGGGCUGGAGAAGGUCCCAAGGGUCCGGCUGUUCGCCGGUUAAAGUGGUACGCGAGCUGGGUUCAGAACGUCGCGAGACAGUUCGGUCCUUAUCCACUGUGGGCGCAGGAGAAUUGAGGGGUUCACACCUUAGUACGAGAGGACCGGGUGUGACGAACCUCUGGUGUUCCAGUUGUCGUGUCAACGGCAUUGCUGGGUAGCUAUGUUCGGAAAGGAUAAGCGCUGAAAGCAUCUAAGCGCCAAGCCUAUCCCAAGAUGAAUUCUCCCUGAAGAUCCGUGGUAGACCACCACGUUGAUAGGUUGCGGGUGCAAGCACAGUAAUGUGUUCAGCUCAGCAAUACUAAUGAUCGUCCGGCUUGGUC
rnacentral:rRNA from 1 species